rfam:Chania multitudinisentens RB-25, complete genome.
GUUUUUAUAAUUAACGCCUGAAAAUAACCCAAUCAUUUACGCAGCAGCAACGUAAAAGGAUGAAGGUGAUUUCGGGCCACUUGGAAG